rnacentral:tRNA from 1 species
GGCAACGUAGCUCAGCGGCAGAGCGGGCGCUUCAUAAGCGCUAGGUCGCAGGUUCGAAUCCCGCCGUUGCCACCA